CACGUAGUUAGCCGGGGCUUCUUAGUCAGGUACCGUCUUGUCUCGUUCCUGCUGAUAGAGCUUUGCAUACCGAAAUACUUCUUCACUCACGCGGCGUCGCUGCAUCAGGGUUUCCCCCAUUGUGCAAUAUUCCCCACUGCCGCCUCCCGUAGGAGUUUGGGCCGUGUCUCAGUCCCAAUGUGGCCGUCCACCCUCUCAGGCCGGCUACUGAUCGUCGCUUUGGUAGGCCGUUACCCUGCCAACUGGCUAAUCAGACGCGGGUCCAUCCCCAUACCACCGGAGUUUUUCACACAGGAGCAUGCGCUCCCGUGCGCUUAUGCGGUAUUAGCACCUGUUCCAGGUGGUAUCCCCGGUAUCGGGGCAGGUUACCCACGCGUUACUCACCCGUCCGCCACUAAGACUACUACACUUUCCAAAGUGCGAAGCACUCCUUACCGAUAAGCAUCCCCGUUCGACUUUGGCUAUGGUGUUUAAGCACGCCGUCCAGUCCGUUCACUUCCCGUGUACGCCGAGG
rnacentral:rRNA from 1 species